rnacentral:misc_RNA from 1 species
GAACGCCCUAUCACCCCCGUUCAUCUCAAAGAGGCCCACAAUACUGCCUACUCCGCCGGUCAAGUCUGGCAACGGAGCGAGAGAAACCUAGGAGAGGCCACACCUUGACAAUGUCAGCAACGCCGCCGCCGCCCUCGUCCAACGCCUCCACCGCUUAUCCGCACGCGCGCGCUUCUCCUGGAACUUACCGCGGGACAGGCAGCGGCGCGUAUUCGCGAGGGUCGUCGUACCAACCAUCCGAAUCAUCGCCGUCGUCAUCGCCGAUCUACACAUCGAGCCACUCGCGCCGCGGUGGCGGUAGCACGCGUGUUCGCGCGCAUACAUACGGCUCCGUCCACGCCGAUCCAGCAGCGUCACGUGCGGCGGCCCCCCCAGCGUCGCGUACGUCUGCGCCACGCGCCACCCCCGAUGUCGCCACGCCGCCGCUGCCGUCUGCCUCCUCCGCGGCUUCGCCGCCUCUCUCGUUCAUCUCGAGCGAUGUUCUGAGCAGCCUCAACGCCAGUGUGCAGGAGAGCCUCUCCGGGUACCUGUACACGGACGCCAUCGAGCUUGCGCAGCGUCUCUUCGACCUGGAGGCGUCCUACGCGCACCUGCACCUGCUCGCUCACUGCUACACUGUCAGUGGGGCGGCCGGCACGGCGUACCGGCUGCUGCAACACUACUACCCUUUCCUGGAGCUGCAUGUGACACGACCAUGGACGGCUGGUGCUUCUACAAGUGCUGCUGGCGGAGCGGCAGGGGGGGUGGGCAGCGGCUUCCUUCCCUUCGACGCUCGCCGCACCUGGACAGCCUCUUACGGCGUGCAUCCGCCGCAGCAUCCGUUUUCGUCGGGCAUGUCCUCGACGGCAGCAGCUGCGACGUUCUCAGCUUCGAGCAACGAGAACAACGUCACCUCGGACGAGUUCGAGCUCGGCUACGAGACGGUUGACCUGCAGUCGCAGUGGGACUGCCAGUACCUCCUCGGUGUGUGCUGCUACCGCACGCAGCACUACGAGGACGGCGCCAAGGUGCUCUCGCAGCUGCUGUACGUGUGCCAUCAAGUCACCACAAUCUCUAGCGUUCUUCGGCGGAGGCUGCAGCAGCUUCGCCAGCAGCAGCAGCAGCAGGUAGCCGGGCGCAGUGAUACGAGCGAGGAAGACGACGCUGGUGUGGCGGCAGCAGUACGUACCACGGAGAGACAGCUGCGGACCUGUGCCUUCGUGACGGAGGCGCGCACUUCGCAGGUGCUCUACUGGUUGGGUCUGUGCGAGAAGCAUCGCCAGCGGCACCCGAUCGCGGCUGAGCACCUGCGCCGCGCCUACGUGGCCCACCCGCUUCGUCUCGAUGCGUUCCACGAGUACGUGCACUUGGCGUGGCCGUCGGAGCAGGUGGUGCAGUCACUACUUGCUGUGAAGGAGUCACUGAUCGAGGAAGAAGAUAGAGCGGAGGUCGAUGUCACGGAGCCACCACAGCAGCGCCAACGACCUCCGCAGCGUCGCGGCCGAGACGCCACCGACAUCGCUGUCGAUGUGGACGCCGAUGCAGACGACGAGGAGCAGCGUGCUCCACGCAGCGCCGCUGCUGUUGCUGCUCUCGCUAGCGGCGGUGGUGGUAACCAUAGCGCUGCCUCUGUUUCACCGCAUGCCACGCAGCUGGUGCGAGCAGGUCCGUCGGCGGUGACGCUGCCAGCCCCUUGUCUCACGGCACAGCAGCGGCGGUGCGCACAGCAGCACCUGCGGCCGUUCCUGCACGCUGCCUUCCUCGGCAUUACCUACCGCUGCCCAGAGGCAGUGGAAACCCUUCAUGCGCUGCUUGCCCAAGAGCAGCAGCAACAGCGAGCGGCAGCGGCAGCGGCAGCGCUGGGGUCGGCGUCGUCGUCCACGGUGGCGAGCCUGCACGGCUCAGCGCGUGCUGGUAUGAUGCGUUCGUCCUCCUCCUCUUCUGCGCCGCUGUGGAAGAACCAAGGUGGCGGCAGCGCAGCAACAGGGGCCGUGGCAUCCACCGCAUCGCCUUGGCUGCUCCGCCAGCUCGCCCUCGCCCACUUCCACAACGGCGAUAUUCAGGAGAGUGCGGACGCCUUCGAGCAGCUGCUGCGUACCGCGCCGUGGGAGCUGAUGAGCCCGGCACUCAUCUUCUACAGCACGGCUUUGUGGCACCUGAAAAGCGAGAGUGCGCUUGGCAGCCUUGCGCAACGGCUCACCGACGCCGAGCCACUCAGUGCCACCACCCUGUGUGUCGUCGCCAACGCAUACAGUCUCAUCAAGGACCCUCGCGACGCCUUGGUAAUGCUGAAGCGGGCUGUGCAGGUGGCGCCGACGCUGGCGUACGCGCACGCCCUGCACGGGUACGAGCUGCUCGGCCAAGACAGCAAGGCAGAGGCAGAGGCAGCGUUCAAGGCGGCGCUCGCCGUGGAUGCGUCGCUCUACAUCGCCUACGCCGGCCUCGGGGAGCGCUUCAUGAGGGAGGAGCAGAUCGACAAGGCGCGGGGGUACUACAAGGAGGCAGUGAAGCUGAACCCGACCCCGGCCAUCAUCAACCGCUUCGCUCUGACGUACCACCGCCAGGGCAAGUCGCUUGCCGACCUCAAGACGGCGCUGCGGCUUUACACAGAGUCGCUGGAGCGGCACCCGAACAACGUCACAGCGCGACGGCAGCGCGCCGACGUCCUGCUGCGGCUCGAUCAGCCGUUGCAAGCGCUGGAGGAGCUCAAGGCGCUGCUGGUGGAGUGCCCUGGCGAGGCUGUCGUGUACGUGACCUUGGCGGAAUGCAUGGUGUGUCUGCGGCGUCCACACGAGGCCCUGCAGCACUACCAGACAGCCAUGCACCUUGACCCCCGGCGGGAGAGCUACGUGCAGGGCUGCAUCGACCAACUCGUCGCAGCGAACAUGCUGUAACGCUGCUGGAGUUGUGCCGGGUGUGCGUGGCAGCGCUGUGGACAUUGGCAACAGCCUUUCAGGUAUUCAGCACACAGAGAGGCAGACACGGAUGCAGGGGGUGAGGUGGGGGAGGGACGGGCUCGAGUGCAUCCGACGCCGGCUCGGUAUGGUGUGCGCCAUCCUGUGUCGACAGUGCCUUUGUGCAGCACAUAGAUAGUGUUUACCUUUCUGUUUUCUCUCCUUGGAUGAGAUAUCGACGUAGCUGCGCACCUCCCUGCCGGACGUUCGUCAGAGACGCGUGUACUCUGUGAAGUGCCGCGCGCGAGAUAGAU